rnacentral:rRNA from 1 species
UUAAGUGACUAAGCGUACACGGUGGAUGCCUUGGCAGUCAGAGGCGAUGAAGGACGUACUAACCUGCGAAAAGUUGUGGUGAGCUGGUAAGAAGCAUUGACCCACAAAUGUCCGAAUGGGGAAACCCACCUGAUUUAUCAGGUAUCUUUAACUGAAUACAUAGGUUAAAGAGGCGAACCGGGAGAACUGAAACAUCUAAGUACCCCGAGGAAAAGAAAUCAACCGAGAUUCCGUCAGUAGCGGCGAGCGAACGCGGACUAGCCCUUAAGCUAGAUUGGUGUUAGUGGAAUCAUCUGGAAAGCUGAGCGAUACAGGGUGAUAGCCCCGUACACGACAACACCUUUAUAGUGAAAACGAGUAGGACGGGACACGUGGUAUCCUGUUUGAAGAUGGGGGGACCAUCCUCCAAGGCUAAAUACUCCUGACUGACCGAUAGUGAACCAGUACCGUGAGGGAAAGGCGAAAAGAACCUCUGUAAGAGGAGUGAAAUAGAACCUGAAACCGUGUACGUACAAGCAGUGGGAGCACCUUCGUGGUGUGACUGCGUACCUUUUGUAUAAUGGGUCAGCGACUUACAUUCUGUAGCGAGGUUAACCGAAUAGGGGAGCCGUAGGGAAACCGAGUCUUAACUGGGCGAAAUAGUUGCAGGGUGUAGACCCGAAACCGGGCGAUCUAGCCAUGAGCAGGUUGAAGAUUGGGUAACACUAAUUGGAGGACCGAACCCACUACUGUUGAAAAAGUAGGGGAUGACUUGUGGCUUGGAGUGAAAGGCUAAUCAAGCUCGGAGAUAUCUGGUUCUCCUCGAAAGCUAUUUAGGUAGCGCCUCGAGCGAAUACCACCGGGGGUAGAGCACUGUUUGGGCUAGGGGGUCAUCCCGACUUACCAACCCCAUGCAAACUCCGAAUACCGGUGAGUACUACUCGGGAGACACACGGCGGGUGCUAACGUCCGUCGUGAAAAGGGAAACAACCCAGACCACCAGCUAAGGUCCCAAAGUCAUGGUUAAGUGGAAAACGAUGUGGGAAGGCAUAGACAGCUAGGAGGUUGGCUUAGAAGCAGCCACCCUUUAAAGAAAGCGUAAUAGCUCACUAGUCGAGUCGGCCUGCGCGGAAGAUGUAACGGGGCUAAAAUCAUCCACCGAAGCUGCGGAUUCAUGCAUUGCAUGAGUGGUAGAGGAGCGUUCUGUAAGCCUGCGAAGGUUGUCCGGGAGGAUAGCUGGAGGUAUCAGAAGUGCGAAUGCUGACAUGAGUAACGAUAAGGGGAGUGAAAAACUUCCCCGCCGAAAGACCAAGGGUUCCUAUCCCAUGCUAAUCAGGGUAGGGUGAGUCGGCCCCUAAGGCGAGGCUGAAAGGCGUAGUCGAUGGGAAACGGGUUAAUAUUCCCGUACCGGCCAAUACUGCGAUGGGGGGACGGAGAAAGCUAGGCAAGCGCGGCGUUGGUAGUCCGCGUGAAAGUGCGUAGGUUGGAGAGGUAGGUAAAUCCGCUUCUCUAAGACUGAGACACGAGACGAGUCACUACGGUGACGAAGUUGCUGACGCUCUGCUUCCAGGAAAAGCCUCUAAGCUUCAGGUAUUGGUGACCGUACCCUAAACCGACACAGGUGGUCAGGUAGAGCAUACCAAGGCGCUUGAGAGAACUCGGCUGAAGGAACUAGGCAAAAUAGUACCGUAACUUCGGGAGAAGGUACGCUCUUUGAUGUGAAGGCCUUGCGCUGUAAGCAUUGGAGAGUCGCAGUGACCAGCUGGCUGCAACUGUUUAUUAAAAACACAGCACUCUGCAAACACGUAAGUGGACGUAUAGGGUGUGACACCUGCCCGGUGCCGGAAGGUUAAUUGAUGGGGUUAGCGCAAGCGAAGCUCUUGAUCGAAGCCCCGGUAAACGGCGGCCGUAACUAUAACGGUCCUAAGGUAGCGAAAUUCCUUGUCGGGUAAGUUCCGACCUGCACGAAUGGUGUAAUGAUGGCCAGGCUGUCUCCAGCCGAGACUCAGUGAAAUUGAAAUUGCGGUGAAGAUGCCGUAUACCCGCGGCUAGACGGAAAGACCCCGUGAACCUUUACUAUAGCUUGGCACUGAACAUUGACCCUACAUGUGUAGGAUAGGUGGGAGGCUUUGAAGCUGGGACGCUAGUCCUGGUGGAGCCGUCCUUGAAAUACCACCCUUGUAUGUUUGAUGUUCUAACGUAGGUCCCUGAAUCGGGAUUGCGGACAGUG